rnacentral:misc_RNA from 1 species
GAUGAAGAACGCAGCGAAAUGCGAUAAGUAAUGUGAAUUGCAGAAUUCAGUGAAUCAUCGAAUCUUUGAACGCACAUUGCGCCCCUUGGUAUUCCGAGGGGCAUGCCUGUUCGAGCGUCAUUAUAACCCCUCAAGCUCAGCUUGGUGUUGGGGCCUGCCGCACGGGCAGCCCUUAAAAUCAGUGGCGGUGCUAUCUGGCUCUAAGCGUAGUAAUUCUUCUCGCUAUAGAGUCCCGGUGGAUGCUUGCCAUUAACCCCCAAUUUUCUAUGGUUGACCUCGGAUCAGGUAGGGAUACCCGCUGAACUUAAGCAUAUCAUAAGCGGAGGA